UACGAAGGGGGCUAGCGUUGUUCGGAAUUACUGGGCGUAAAGCGUAUGCAGGCGGAUCGUUAAGUCGGGGGUGAAAUCCUGAGGCUCAACCUCGGAACUGCCUUCGAUACUGGCGAUCUUGAGUCCGGGAGAGGUGAGUGGAACUCCGAGUGUAGAGGUGAAAUUCGUAGAUAUUCGGAAGAACACCAGUGGCGAAGGCGGCUCACUGGCCCGGUACUGACGCUGAGAUACGAAAGCGUGGGGAGCAAACAGG
rnacentral:rRNA from 1 species